AGAGUUUGAUCCUGGCUCAGAUUGAACGCUGGCGGCAGGCCUAACACAUGCAAGUCGAGCGGUAGAGAGGUGCUUGCACCUCUUGAGAGCGGCGGACGGGUGAGUAAUGCCUAGGAAUCUGCCUGGUAGUGGGGGAUAACGCUCGGAAACGGACGCUAAUACCGCAUACGUCCUACGGGAGAAAGCAGGGGACCUUCGGGCCUUGCGCUAUCAGAUGAGCCUAGGUCGGAUUAGCUAGUUGGUGAGGUAACGGCUCACCAAGGCGACGAUCCGUAACUGGUCUGAGAGGAUGAUCAGUCACACUGGAACUGAGACACGGUCCAGACUCCUACGGGAGGCAGCAGUGGGGAAUAUUGGACAAUGGGCGAAAGCCUGAUCCAGCCAUGCCGCGUGUGUGAAGAAGGUCUUCGGAUUGUAAAGCACUUUAAGUUGGGAGGAAGGGCAGUUACCUAAUACGUAUCUGUUUUGACGUUACCGACAGAAUAAGCACCGGCUAACUCUGUGCCAGCAGCCGCGGUAAU
rnacentral:rRNA from 1 species